GUUGCUUUCAUCAACCAAACCAGCUGAAAAUCCAUCAACUGGUUUUUUACAGAGAUCUUUGAGUUGUUUCUGAAGUAGGAGACUAGCUUGAGAAGGAGAAGUUGAAGCCAUUAUACUUCAAAUAGAUUCUUGUGGCAAAGAAAUCAAAAAACAGAAUCAGUAGAUUUAUACAAACUAUUCAAAUCCCUGUAAAGGUUUCAAUUCAGAAGUCAAAUAAGUA
rnacentral:misc_RNA from 1 species